rnacentral:rRNA from 1 species
CGGGCCCUUUGUGACCACNUAAAGCUGCUUAAUCAACGAUUNUGGAUAACUGUCNNUGGCCAGNUGGNAAUUGCCCACCUCAUCUGGAGCCUAUCUUACUACCUUGGAUAAACCGUGCUAUUUCUAGAACUAAUAGGUGGUAUGUACCCCGAGNUCGGAAGUGAUGUAUUAUUAGAUUAAAAACCACUGCCCUUCGGGGCUCCCUGGUGAAUCAUAAUAACUUCUCCACUCUCCCGGCUUGAAGCGAGUGUUAGUUCAUUCCCAUGGCUUCCCGGANCAAUGGACUAUCCCAGACUACUGUCCUGUCAUGGUCAUUACGGGUAAAAGAUGGUUAGGGCUCCACCACCUAUAAUGANCCCGAAAUUCCG